rnacentral:lncRNA from 1 species
CUCAGGUUGGGUCAGUUCAAGAUGGGUCAGCUCAAGGUGGGGACAUCCAGAGAUGGUUGGGACACAAAAAUGGGUCAAUCCAAGGUGGACAAACCAAGGUUGGUCAACUCAAGGUGGGUCAACCCAAGGUGGGUCACUCCAAGGUGGGUCAACUCAAGGUGGGUCAAUCAAGGUGGGAAACCCAAGGUGGGGACAUCCAGAGAUGGCUGGGACACAAAAAUGGGUCAAUCCAAGAUGGGUCAACUCAAAUUGGGUCAAUGCAGGUGGGCAACCCAAGGUGGGUCAAUCAAGGUGGGUCAAUUCACAUUGGGUCAAUCCAGGUGGGUCAACUCAAGGUGGAGACAUCCAGAGGUGGUUGGGACAAAAAAAUGGGUCAAUCCAAGGUGGACAACCAAAGGUUGGUCAAUCAAGGUGGGUCACUCCAAGGUGGGUCAAUCCAGGUGGGUCAACUCAAGGUGGGGACAUCCAGACGUGGUUGGGACCCAAAGAUGGGUCAGUCCAGGUGGGUCAGUCAAGGCGGACAACUCAAGGUUGGUCAGCUCAAGGUGGGUCAAUGCAGGGUGGGGCAAUCAAGGUGCUCAAUCCAAGGUGGGGCAAUCAAGGUGGGGACAUCCAGAGGUGGUUGGGAGCCAAAGAUGGGUCAAUCCAAGGUGGACAACCCAAGGUGGGUCAGGUCAAUUUGGGUCAGCUCAAUUUGGGUCAAUCCAAGGUGGGGACAUCCAGAGGUGGUUGGGACAAUGUGCUGAUUUGACCAGGAAGUGGGAAUGCUGUGGUCAAACCAAUGGGUGCUCAGAUUUUGGUGGCUCAGCCCAAGGUGGGUCAAACCAAGAUGGACAUCCUGGGCAGGGCCACCCCAAGGUGUGGUGGGCAGCCAGGGCUAGGUCAGCCCAAGGUGGGGCACCCGGGAGUGGCGUCACCCCAAAGCGAUGCCAACCUGGAGGCGGGGUCACCAGGAAGUGGGGAUUCCCCAGGGCGGGGCGAUGAUGGCAUCACCUGGGGGUGUGGUCACCUGGGCGUGUGGUCCUGAUGUUGUUGUCGUCUGG